CUUGCCCAGCUCAUCGAUCACCGUCCUCAGGCGCUGCUCCAGCUGCUGCUCCCUGCGGGGGAGACGAGAGAGCCGAGGGGGCACCGCUGUCCCCUCAUCAAAUCCCUCAAAACUCUCAUAAAAUCCCUCAAAAACCCUCAUCAAAACCCUCACAAAAUCCCUCAUCAAAUCCCUCAAAAACCCUCAUCAAAUCCCUCAAAAACCCUCAUCAAAACCCUCAAAAACCCUCAUCAAAACCCUCAAAAACCCUCAAAAACCCUCACAAAAUCCAUCAAAAACUCCUCAUCAAAUCCCUCAAAAACCCUCAUCAAAUCCCUCAAAAACCCUCAUCAAAUCCCUCAAAAACCCUCAAAAACCCUCAUCAAAACCCUCAAAAACCCUCAAAAACCCUCAUCAAAACCCCUCAUCAAAACCCUCAAAAACCCUCAUAAAAACCCUCAUCAAAUCCCUCAAAAACUCCUCAUCAAAUCCCACAAAACCCUCAUCAAAACCCUCAAAAACCCCUCAAAAACCCUCAUCAAAUCCCUCAAAAACCCUCAUCAAAUCCCUCAAAAACCCUCAUCAAAAACCCCUCAAAAACCCUCAUCAAAACCCUCAAAAACCCUCAUCAAAACCCUCACAAAAUCCCUCAAAAACUCCUCAUCAAAUCCCUCAAAAACCCUCAUCAAAACCCUCAAAAACCCCUCAUCAAAUCCCUCAAAAACCCUCAUCAAAACCCUCAAAAACCCUCAUAAAAACCCUCAUAAAAACCCUCAAAAACCCUCAUCAAAACCCUCAUCAAAUCCCUCAAAAACCCUCAUCAAAACCCUCAUCAAAUCCCUCAAAACACCUCAUCAAAACCCUCAAAAACCCUCAAAAACCCUCAUCAAAACCCUCAUCAAAUCCCUCAAAAACUCCUCAUCAAAUCCCACAAAACCCUCAUCAAAACCCUCAAAAACCCUCAUCAAAACCCUCAAAAACCCUCAUCAAAUCCAUCACAAAAUCCAUCAAAAACUCCUCAUCAAAUCCAUCAAAAACCCCUCAAAAACCCUCAUCAAACCCCUCAAAAACCCUCACAAACC
rnacentral:lncRNA from 1 species